CCAUUUUGUUGUUGACAGCGGGGAGUCUACAUAAGCGGCUCUGACAACGUAACGAAGCUUGGUCGUUAGGCUGAGCGGGAGCAAAAUCGUGAGAGGAUGUUCCUCCUGAUAACCACAAAAUCGGGUGAGUGC
rnacentral:ncRNA from 1 species